rnacentral:tRNA from 1 species
GGAUAUAGCUCAGUUGGUAGAGUGCUUGCCUUGCAUGUAUAAAGCCCUGGGUUCAAUCCCCAGCACCA